rnacentral:piRNA from 1 species
UGAUAUAGUCAUUGGUACAUACUUGGAAGA